GACUGUUCUGAUUGGGUAGUUAGCUGACAGCUCGGAGUAUAAAAGAGCUGUCAUCUACAGACAGUUCUGUUACGUUACUGUUGCUGUUGGUUCCUGUUAAUAAAUAACGUUAACUCAUGCCUCAGUCGCCUCGUCCUUGCCUCAGCUAUACAAUAUAACACUGGCGACGAGAUAUUUGGCUGAGAAAUAGGACGGAAGAAUGGCGCCGCCUACAUUCGCUUCUUUCGAUGCACGAUCAGAGUCUUGGGAUGCCUACAUGGAAAGGUAGGACAUUGUAGCAGAUGAUUUUAUGUACUAUGCUUCAGUGGUGAAAUCUGAACUGGUUUACUACCGGUUCGCUGACCGAGCAUGCGUGCCGCAAUACACGCCAAAAGGAGGCUUGGGAAGUAUUAUCGCUGUCUGAGCAUCUCUUAAUGAAGUUUUCUGUUUCAUGAGAGUAUUCUUAUAAAGAAGGGCUGAAUGAAAAACAAGUAAAGAUAAUAGUCACAGAACGAAAAAUUAACUCUCAAGGUAAUAUAAUUAAAAAUGUUUCCAAUAUUUUUCCCAAUCCUGGGGCAGGAAAUUCUUAAGAUCUGAUUGGAAAUAAAAACCAAUGAACUUGCAUACAGCCUGCAUCAUCCCGAUGUCUUGGGCAAUGGCUGAACUUCUUGCAUUAGAGCAGAUGACUGGGGGAAAAAGCCAGUGAGUUGCCGACAUCUGCAGGGAAUCCAGACCCAGCAAAUAACAAAUAAAUUCAAAGCCAUCUUGCUAAGACUUAGGCAGCAGGACACAGACAACAAUCACCGAGAGCAGUCAGACUCAGAGGAGUCACAAUACAAGAGAAUAAGAAGUUCAGUUUUGAUGGUUUAGACCAGGGGUCUCCAAACUUGGAAACUUUAAGGCUUGUGGACUUCAACUCCCAAAUUUCC